GACGAACGCUGGCGGCGUGCUUAACACAUGCAAGUCGAACGGAAGGCCCUGCUUUUGUGGGGUGCUCGAGUGGCGAACGGGUGAGUAACACGUGAGUAACCUGCCCUUGACUUUGGGAUAACUUCAGGAAACUGGGGCUAAUACCGGAUAGGAGCUCCUGCUGCAUGGUGGGGGUUGGAAAGUUUCGGCGGUGGGGGAUGGACUCGCGGCGUAUCAGCUUGUUGGUGGGGUAGUGGCUUACCAAGGCUUUGACGGGUAGCCGGCCUGAGAGGGUGACCGGCCACAUUGGGACUGAGAUACGGCCCAGACUCCUACGGGAGGCAGCAGUGGGGAAUAUUGCACAAUGGGCGGAAGCCUGAUGCAGCGACGCCGCGUGCGGGAUGACGGCCUUCGGGUUGUAAACCGCUUUCGCCUGUGACGAAGCGUGAGUGACGGUAAUGGGUAAAGAAGCACCGGCUAACUACGUG
rnacentral:rRNA from 1 species